rnacentral:rRNA from 1 species
UGGGGAAUAUUGGACAAUGGGCGCAAGCCUGAUCCAGCCAUGCCGCGUGAGUGAUGAAGGCCUUAGGGUUGUAAAGCUCUUUCGCCGACGAAGAUAAUGACGGUAGUCGGAGAAGAAGCCCCGGCUAACUUCGUGCCAGCAGCCGCGGUAAUACGAAGGGGGCUAGCGUUGUUCGGAAUCACUGGGCGUAAAGCGCACGUAGGCGGAUUGUUAAGUCAGGGGUGAAAGCCUGGAGCUCAACUCCAGAACUGCCCUUGAUACUGGCAAUCUCGAGUCCGGAAGAGGUAAGUGGAACUGCGAGUGUAGAGGUGAAAUUCGUAGAUAUUCGCAAGAACACCAGUGGCGAAGGCGGCUUACUGGUCCGGUACUGACGCUGAGGUGCGAAAAGCGUGGGGAGCAAAACAGGAUUAGAUACCCUGGUAGUCCACGCCGUAAACGAUGGAGGCUAGCCGUUGGCGAGCACGCUCGUCAGUGGCGCAGCUAACGCAUUAAGCCUCCCGCCUGGGGAGUACGGUCGCAAGAUUAAAACUUAAAUGAAUUGACGGGGUCAUAGCUGUUUCCU